GGACCAUUAGCUUAGUUGGUCAGAGCAUCGCAUUUAAGAUUAUUAACAGAGCGGAUUCGAUCCCCUCAUGGUCCA
rnacentral:tRNA from 1 species